AAGCCAUCUUGAGGACAUUUCCGCAGGAGCACGUAGAACCUAUCCCAUAUAUGAAAAGGAGACUCCAAUUCCAUUUACACAAAGGAGGAAAUUUCAUUCCUGAGCUU